GCCGGCCCGCCCCCAGCUCGCCAGGCUCCAUCCCCGCCGGCUGGGCCCCUGGGUCUCAGGCUGGGACCCGAGGCGUUGUCGUACAACCCGGGUCUCGCAGGAGGGCAGUGGGCAGCUUCUUUUCCCCACCCAGGGUUGUAUCUAAGGAUUUUUUAAAUCAUAGGAACACAAGCACAUACCUUGGCCCAAACGCUCAGACGCUAAGAACAGCAACUCUCUGAGAUCCCCAGCAUCCCAACCCAUCACUCUGGGGGAAUCUUGCUGGGCUUUUACUUACCUUAUUCGUGUGUUCCCUGGCCUGUUAACUGCAUCCAUCUGCAACUGAGGCCUUGCUGAGCAAGAGGGGGACCCACACAGAGGAGG